CGCUAACCUUCUAUAUAAAAAAUAUAAAGUGAGCCCACUUGGGUAAUUUUUCUUGCUAACAAAAAUUGCAGUGUUCAUACCAAGAGAGAUGAAAAACAAUAGAAAUCUAGAAUACCUUUGAUCUCCAGAAAGUAGCAGGCUCUGGCAGCAUGAUUGCCCUUCAUAUUGGGGCAUCUGCAGCUAUGCAUUCCUUUACAGCUACAUGAAAGUAAAAAGUUCCCACUACUGUGCAGCUGGGUCAGCUGUCCAAGUAACAAUUCGGAAUGUUUUGAUUGUGUGCUCUCUACAUUGGUGAGGGUUCAUAAACACAUAAAAUGUAUAAGCCAGAUCCUGUGACCAGUAAUUUUUUGGAAGGAAAGGGGAUCUGCCAAGUUGCUGCCAUGCAACACAUCUCUCUUUCCCAAAAUAGCCUCAUCUUCAUCUUUACUUUCCUCUUUUUUUUUUACCUCCACCUUAAAAGGCAUCUUAGUGGGGUUGAACUUUCAGCUAAAGGACAGAGUGACAGUAUAAUAUAUCAUCAAUGCACUUUAUCAUCAUCAUGAGGACAAAAGUUUAUUGUUGACUUAGGGUGCAUUCUGGAGAGUGUAGUACAAUGGCUUUCCUCUUAAAGUACAAUAGUUGUUCUUGUGUUGUUUUGUCUUCAGGAGCUUGAAAUUGGAAAAUGGUGUUUUUAUUGGGGAAGAGAGUGCUGGGCACAAGGAUCAUGUCAUUGGAUCAAGAUUUGGUUUCAGUUCAGAAUGCUUUAAACCUGACACACUUAGUGGGGUUUGACCAUUUUCAUAAACUGUUAACAAACCAUAUGUCAAACAUAUUUUGUGGAGUUUAGUCAAAUGGGAUAGUAAAAUUAAAGAUGGCUUGGAGUGGAUUAACUUCAGCCUUUUUUAUUGCAGCGCAGCUAUUAUAAAUGUCAGUACUUUACUCACUUUGCUUUGAGUUUCACCAGAUUAAUUUCCCCCUUUGGUUUGCAGUCAUGUUAUUGACUUAACAAGAAUUUCCAUGUUACAGUUUUAAAAUGUGGGUGCUGGAGUGAGCACAUUUCCUAUUUAUAGUUCAGAUGCUGUCAUUUCCAUCCUAAAGAAACUCCCAUCAUGGUAGCAAGUCAUCUUACCACACUUUUACGCAAUAAUAGAAAUUCAGCUUGACAGCAAGACACCAUAUACAACAACUACUUUCUGUCCUGAAUGUAAAUUCAGGAUGAGAGAUCAGCUGGCAUUCAGGGCCUAACCCAAAGCUCAUUCAGUGGAUUUUACCUUUGGAUCAGACCCUCACUGAGGACAUGAGUUGCCUUACUGGAGCAGACCGAUGGGUCUGUGUAGUGCAGUGUCUACCUCUGCUGGUUGUCUAUUCCUGAUGCUUCACAAUAAGAAGACACCUACCCACCAUCUCUAAGAAAAAUGCAUCUGGCCAAUUUUGCAAUGUUUAAAUAUGGAAGGUGGGUUUUUUGUUUUUAAAAGAUUUACUCUCAUUAGGUUACCAAAUUUUAGGCCCCUCAUUUUAUUCAUCCACCUUCCCUGCUUUUGACAUGCGGCAGUUCCAGGAUUCACACUUCAACCAGACUUUGGACUUUUAAAAACUCUUUUGUGUGUAAGUUUCUCAUCAUGAGAAGAAUUAACGAUUGACCCAACAUUCCAUUUGGUUUUCCUUUCAAAGCCUGUGUCAUAGAUCAAAAGAAACCCUGCUAUUAUUUAAUGUGACAUUCACCCGUAGUAAUGAAGAAAUUCAGCUACAAAUGACCUUCCUGGCUUGCAUUCAUGGCUUGGUUACUGCCUCCCUACUUUGGUUUAUUUUUUACCUUUUGCUUCUAUUCCUUGAUCUCCAGGAUGCUCCAGGAAUACAGAGACCCACAACACUAGCUCUUCAGCUAUAGUUCAGCAUUAGGGCUAAUAGAAAUCCCAUGCAUUCAUACAUGCAUGCAUCCAGUCCUUACAUUCAUACAAAGUCUCUGAUCAGUUAAGCUGCCCCAUGCCCUGAAGGCUUGUUCCAAUUCCUACUGAAGUCAGUGGAAAGGCCUUAAUGGGAGCGGGAUCAGGGCUUGAAUGAGUAUUGGGCUGUAGCGCAAGGGACAUCUUUUCAGCAUAACAGGAAGAUAGAUAUAUAGAUAGAUAGAUAGAUAGAUAUACACACACACAAAAUAUACUGAAAUUUGUUUUUAUUUUUGGGAAAAGACCAAAUAUAGUAUAUUUUGCCCCAUAUUAGACGCCUUAUUUUUUUCAUUCCUAAGUAAUAGAGGGUCCUAAUUUAUAUUUUAAAAAUUGCAUGAAUCCAUUAUUUGUAACAGGUUAUGCAAAAUUAUUUUGGUUUUCUUUUUUGUUUUUUCGUGUUUGAGUACAGAAUGAUCAUGUUUCUUUUAUUACAUUUUUUCUUUAUAGAACUGUUACAGAGCUAAUGUUCAGUCUCAUUGAUUUCUAUUGUUACUGCUCCACAAUACAUUAGGAUAUAUUCUGCACUUGAUAUGUGCAUGCAAUUUCUGCAGUUCUGUAAACUCCUUAACACAUUAACAGCCUAAAAAGGGUGCCCCUGGUGUCAGUUUAGAGUGACAAAAUUACAUGCAUGCUGCAAAAUACACAAUCCAUCACAUUCUCUGAAUGCUAAUGCCUCAGAAGCUAUACUCUCAAUGGAUAGCAGGAGGAAUUCACCCUAGUGUAGGGACCCUGCCCACACCCCAUCUACUCAAGUGAAGGACUUACAUGAUGCAGAGGAACUUGGAUAGGCCCUCUGUACUGGGUUGUAUUUCACCCAGUAAAAAUGUUGUGUGAUAACUACAUCAAUUAAUAACAUUUUCUGAUCUAAAAUAGCUUUGGAUCUGAUCCAUUUCAUCAAUAUAAGCAGGAUCAUAGUGGUAGUUUAAAAAAUUAAUUAUGGGUCCUGGAGGCCUGUAGAGCUGGUACAUGAGUGGAAGGAAAAGGAUAGUUCUAUUUACAUGCUAUCAAAUCCAAAGUAUUCAGUAACCCACUAAGUCAAUGGGAGACUUUGAAAACUAUCCUUGGAUAACUGAUGAAAAGAAUAAGCUUAUAAAAGAAAAAUCUCCCCUUAGAGAAGAUGUUUUUCUUAUUUUAUUCUGUCUUUCAGUUCACAGCUAUGGUGCUUUCCGACAAAUCUCAUUACAGUUUUUAACAAAUCUCCUUCCUUUCAAGUUUGACAGUGUUAAUAAAAAGCCAAAGUUGUGACAGUUCUGCUUGUCGAUUCUCUGAGUGCUGAACACAAGGAAGGAAAACUUGAUGCCAGUUAACCACAGGAGCUGAAAACUCAGAGACUAAAUACAAUUAUUGUGCUGAAGCAAGAAGACUUGAAAUUCUGUCCACAAAGCAGGUUGUCACCCUCUUUUGUAACUGAGCGAAGAAACUGUUAGGCUAUUGUUUUCUUUCUGUGCCUCCCAGCACUAUCCAACUUAGCUACAUAGGAAAUUAUUAAUGGGUUUUUAGGUAACUGGAAGUAGAAGGAAAAAGCACCGAUAAGUCUCUCCAUUAUUUUUCCCUUUUCCUU